AUUUUUUUGAGGAAAGGUAUUUGGUUUUGGAUUUUAUAUAUAAUAUACAUUACAUUUAUUCCAGGGAUUGCAACGCUUCUGCACUGAGCAUAAAAUCAAAUUGUCGAAGAUUGAUCACAUAUUUCUCUCACGUGUUUGCUCGGAAACUGCUGGUGGACUCCCUGGUCUUUUGUUGACUCUGGCUGGUAUUGGAGAUGGAGUUUCUGUCAAUGUAUGGGGUCCCUCAGAUCUCAAGUAUCUGGUUGAUGCAAUGAAAUCUUUCAUUCCCAAUGCUGCUAUGGUAUAUACCCGUAGCUUUGGUCCAAUGCAAGAUGUUAAUGGCACUGGUAUUUCCAUGUCUCGGAAGUUUGACGGUCCUUUCGUUCUAAUUGAUGAUGAAGUUGUCAAAAUAUCCGCAAUAGUCCUUCGACCUGGUCACUCAGAAGUGAAUGAACCAGGAAUGGGUCUGGAUGAGACAAAGCCUGCAAAUCUUUCUGUUAUUUAUAUUUGUGAAUUGCCUGAAAUAAAGGGAAAAUUUGAUCCCCAAAAAGCCGCUUCUCUUGGAUUGAGACCUGGGCCGAAAUAUCGUGAACUGCAACUUGGAAAUCCCGUGAAGUCAGAUUGUGAAAAUAUUAUGGUAGAUUAGCAAGCCUUUCAG